UCUUAUCUCAAUAUAUAGAUGUAUUAUUAUUAGUUAUACUUGUUCCGCAGGAAGCUGAUUAACAGAAAAUAGCUCCUCUAUAUUUUUAAUGAAUGACAGGCCCAUUCCAACAAAAGCAUGAAAACUUCAGAUUGACUAGAGCCUUCUUUCUUUUUUUUAAAAUAACCUUUCCUUCUCCCUAGAGAGAUGUCCGGGACUCACAAUGAGGUGCUUUGUGAGCUUCCAGCCAAGGUUGAUUUGGCACCUCCGUCACAGAGAGCUUGUGCAGACUGUGACAGGCUUUCAAGGAAGCCACUUCCCACAUGUGCUCCUUUGGUUCUCUCAUUGGUGCUUGGGAGCAGGAGGCUGGCUCCUCCCGGUGAGCUGGGUGCUAUGACAGAUUAGACUUUUACGCAAGAAAAUCAGUCCUGCACAGUUGAUGUACUGCUUUAAAUUUAAAGACCCCUUGGGACCUGAAACUGUAAGCAUUCGUCCAGCAGACCCAAAGACAAGGCAAGCAGACUCUUUUACAAAGAGAGAAAUGAGCUCCUCCAUGAGGUGUGGCCUGUCAAAGGCCACAGGACUGGCAUUGGAGAAACAAAACAAGAAGCCACAGAGUCUGAUUCCUGAGGAUUAUUAUUUUGAUUAAAGACUCCUUCAGUUUAGUCAGCUACAGAAGAUUUGGAGGUAUGUAAAAAUCAGGCAGAAAUAUUUCCAAAACUUUCCAUAUCUGACUAACCAAAGUAAAAUCAGGAAUUAAUCUAACAGCUUUUGCACCAUGGGCGGAAUACUUCUUAGAUAUUUA
rnacentral:lncRNA from 1 species